rnacentral:tRNA from 1 species
GCGCCCGUAGCUCAAUUGGAUAGAGCACCUGGCUUCGGACCAGGGGGUUCGGGGUUCGAGUCCCUGCGGGCGCGCCA